UCAAACAAAAUAUAUAAAGAUAGUACAUAUUUAUACAUUAAUUCCAAUCCUACCUGAAUAUUAUGAUAUAUUAAAUAAAUCAAAGGGACUUGAUCAUUUUUCCCAAAAUACACGUAAAAUUUGAAUCCUCAUACUGGUAAGAAAGAACAGAGAGGUUUACUGUGGAGACUGAGCAACCGAUAAAGCAACAGACAUAAAUUUAACGUAGCGGCUAACAAUUUUAUUUAGGGGCAAAAACUUGAUCCCAAAUUGUUCCAAUGCAUCAGAACAAUCCAUAUGUAAAGCACCUAAAUUUGAGAUCAUCGAUCCAGAAUCGUUUUUAUUGAGUGAUUUCAUAGCUUCUUCGAGAUCGCUUACUGCGCUAUCCAUUGACUCUUUACAAGUACUCAGAAUUGAAUCUUUUGUUUGUGGUUCAACACCUGUGAUUUUUGGAAGAAAAUCGUUGGUCGCAUUUUGGAUCCUAUAUGCCAUUUCUGUACAUGCAUUUAUACUUUUGACCAUUGCUUCAUUCCAAUUUGUUGCUCCGUUUACAACCCUAUUGCACAAAUUUGGUAUAGUGCACGUCUUGCAAUAUGGGCUCAUUGGAAUUACUUGAGCCUCACUGCUCUUUAUGAGGACAUAAAACGUAGCCACGAUUAAUAAUAAACAAUAAUUCAUCUUUCUUGAAUUCAUAGUUUUCAUCUUUUAUCCCUUAUUAUAUAGGCUCAGAGAAUUGUUCUGUUUCCCUCCUUUUUUUCUCGGGGCCUAUUGGAAUUGGGAUGUAAACAGAAGAAAUAAUUUUAAUGUUUUAAAAGGGUAGAUUGUAUUUAUGAGAAAGGUUCGAAUUUUAAAUGCCACUAAAAUCUAGAGGUUCUGCGCAUUCAUAGAAAUUAUAUUUUGAUUGUGCAGUUAAUGUUUCUCUAGAAAAAAAAUUCCAUUGUGAGAAAAAUGAGGUGUGCCCUCUAUUCUUUCUUUGUUUGACGGGGCACAUCAAUUACAUAUACGCGUUGAAGUUGGUUAUAUAUGGAUGGUACAUGGAUUCUGGUUGUUUUUAAAAAAACAUUACACGAACCUCUUCUAUUUUUCCUUUCAAUUUCUUUUUGUUAUUUUUUUUAAAACUAGAAUGUUGUUGUUGGAUUAAAGAUUUUAUGGUUAUGUUGACUUUCGAGUUAUUUCUUCGAAUGUUGAAUAUUAAAUAAGCCCUCACAUAAUCAAUGUCAGUUGUGUAAGGCACAAACUAAAUUAAAAUUUUUCUUUUUACCUUUUUAAUAGAAAUGGAGCAAACAUAUGCAAACAUGAUAUAGUUUAUCUUCGAUAAAACAGAUCUCCAUAGAUUUUUGAGUUGUAUAUAUAUUGUUGAAAAUUUUAUUUUGUGUUUACACAACUGACUCUAGUUGUGUGCGAUCUCUUUUUUAUCUCAUAACUGUGCGGUCCCAUAAUUUUAUGAACCCCAAUAUGUAAGAUAUAAUUCUAUUAAUAUGUAAGAUAAAAAGAUGCAUCACACAACUAAUUUCAGUUGCGUGAGGCAAGCCAUAAAAUCACUUAGGAAGGAUUGAAUUAGAAGCACAUCGGAAAAAUGUAGGUUUAGACCGGUGUUUAAAAAUCCGUACUAUCUUAACUUGCAAAAUUGAACUUGCUUCAAAUCAAUAUUAAAUGGUAGAUAGAUUUAAUAGUCAAGUUAAAAUAUUUGUAAUCGAUGCAAUCUAAGAAAAACGUAGAACAAUCAAGUUCAAAUGAUGCUCUAGACUGCAUUGUCCAAAUAUGCAUUAAUAACUUUGUGUAGAAGAGUCAAAAUAACAAAUUCUGAUUGAACACAUAGAAAUCAGAUUUCGAGAUCUACAAUAUUGGUGCAGAGAGUACAAACCAAAUUGCUCAUAGAGCUUAGUAUCCCUAUCGUUGGUGCUCCAGAGCUGGGGUGGAUCUAGCGUAGUGGUGCCGGAUUCAAUUGCACAUUAUUUUCGACGUGAAAUAUAAUUAGAUAUAAAAAUUAUUUAAAAUAGGAAUAAAUAGUAGAUAUAAAUACAUAAUUUUAGCAAUAUAAUUAGUUUAAUACUAAGACUUUUAGAGGUUGAGCUCAUAAAGUUCAAAUUUUAUAUCCGCCGCUGCUUCAGGGUACCACAUAUAUGUGGAAUAAAUCCAACUCUUCAAAAGUAAUUGUCUCUACACCAUCCAAACUAAACUAUCCAGGAUCGUAUCAUUUCUAGUCCUUUCAUUAUGUGAUUAGACGUGCAAAAAUACAAAAUUUAAACAACUAAGCACUAUAGAAAAGGAAAAAAAAUACAUCAAACAAAAUAUAUGAAGAUAGUUUAUAUUUAUGAAUUAAUUGCAAUCCGGCCUGAAUAUUAUGAUAUAUUAAAUAAAUCAAAGGGACUUGAUCACUUUUUCCAAAAUACACAUAAAGUAUGAAUCCUCAUACUGGUAAAGAAAGAACAAAAGAGGUUUACUAUGUAGACUGAGCAACCGAUAAAGCAAUAGACAUAAAUUUAACAUAACGGCCAACAUAUUUAUUUAGGGGCAAAAGCUUUAUCCCAAACUAUUCCAUUGCAUCAGAAAAAUCCAUAUGUAAAGCACCUAAAUUUGAUAUCAUUGAUCGAGAAUCGUUUUUAUUGAGUGAUUUCAUAGCUUCUUCUGAUCGCUCACUGCACUAUCCAUUGACUCUUUACAAGUACUCUGAAUUGAAUCUUUUGUUUGUGGUUCAACACCUCUGAUUUUCGAAAGAAUGUCGUUGGUCACAUUUUGGAUCCUAUAUGCCAUUUCUGUACAUGCAUUUAUGCUUUUGACCAUUGCUUCAUUCCAAUUUGUUGCUCCGUUCACAACCUUAUUGCACAAAUUUGUAUAGUGCACGUCUUGCAAUAUGGGCUCAUUGGAAUUACUUGAGCCUCACUGCUCUUUAUGAGGAUAUAAAAUGUAGCCACGAUUAACAAUAAACAAUAAUUCAUCUUUCUUGAAUUCAUAGUUUCCAUCUUUUAUCCCUUAUUAUAUAGGCUCGGAGAAUUGUUCUGUUUGCUUCGUUUUUUUCUUGGGGCCUAUUAGAAUUGGGAUGUAAACAGAAGAAAUAAUUCCAAUGUUUUGAAAAGUAGGUUGUAUUUAUGAGAAAAGUUCAAAUUGUAAGUCCCACUAUAAUCUAGAGGUUCUGCGUGUUCAUGGAAAUUAUAUUUUUAUUGUGCAGUUAAUAUUUCUCUUGAAAACAAAUCCCAUUGUGAGAAAAAAGAUUUGCUUAAACUAAUCCUAGCCAACUAGGAUUCAAGAUCUAACGACUCAGAAGUGAUCAACAAUAUAUAUAUAUGGAAUACAUUUCAAGUUUUGGCAAUCAGGCGCCCACCUGGAGAACAAGGGAAUUAUAUGUCCAAACAAACCCUACCCCCUCAGAACCCCCUACACGUCAUCUCUAUCACCUCUCACAAGACAAACUUGAUCCCGCCGCCCACCGCCAUGAACAGCCGGCUGAAAAUUGCCUCCGCCGGCGGCGCUCAUCCAAUGACCUCCAUUUUUACACAAUAGGCUCGCCUUGAUCCCCUCAUACCCAUACCACCAUUCAUCUCCCUCAAAUCUCACCAGAAAAUGUCAAAUAUCCAAAAUCCUACACUGCCGCCAUUGGUUCCUCCGAGCGAUGUCGCCUCCCGAUAUUUCCCCCAACAACAUAUGGCAAUCAACAUGUAUUGAGCUUUAGUCUCAUGCGUACGACACCUUCUGUAUCUACUUACACGAUGCUCCGUAGUUCGUUGUCAAAAUCCAUCAGCUGCCAUGAGUGGUGCCAAUCAGGACGUCAUAGGACGUAGCCAUGGCACGUGUCGGGAUGUCGUAAGACAUGGCUACAGUACAUAUUAGGACGUCGGAGGACAUGUCCAUGGGACGUGUCAGGACGUUUAUUUUCAAAAUCCAUCAGCUUCCACGAGCUGUACCAGACACAACCCAUAACAACCAAUAGCAAUCGAUAACUUACUGAGCUUCGCUCCAUGCAUAUGGAACCUUGCUCAUGCUCCAACCCCUUAUUCAUAUUGCGGCUCGGCAAGCGGAUUACCGGCGCAUGCGUCGCUUCUACCCCAGAUUCUGACUUAUAGGCAUUCAGUCAUAUCCAACGCAUGGUACCUUCGCGUCACUGGCUUUUUAACCAAGCACGAUGACCAAUUGUGCGAAUCAACGGUUCUUCUUAUACUAGGUUGAAUUAUUAUUGCGAUACUGUCAUCAGUAGGGUAAAAUUAACCUGUCUCAUGAUGAUCUAAACCCAACUCACGUUUUCUAUUGAUGGUUGAACAAUCCAACACUUGGUGAAUUCUGCUUCAUAAUGAUAGAAAGAGCGGACAUCGAAAGAUCAAAAAGCAACGUCAAUUCCUGGACAUGUCAGGACGUCCUGACAAACAAGGAUUGGACUAUAUUUUGAAAACCACAAACAAAAGUAUAGAAUCACGAGCGCUUCUCUCUCUCUAUAUAUGAUAAUAUAAAUUGAGCUUAAAUGAAGAAGUAAUGAUUUAUAUAGUAACUUUAACUUGUUUGUAAUAGAGGCGUGACUAUUGUUGUAUAUGUUUUCUUAUAAUUUUUAUUUCUAUAUGCUUCUUGAAUUUCAUCUUACACAAUUUAGUUAAGUUUAUUAAUUAGCCAGUCCUCAAUCGUACCAGAGCAACCUUUAUGUAAUUUCAUUUUACACAAUUUAGUUAAGUUUAUUAAUUAGCCAGUCCUCAAUCGUACCAGAGCAACCUUUAUGGUUGUCAGAAAUGAAAAAUUAUUAUCUAGGAAUAUUGAACUCCUUCUUAAUAAAGUCCACAUGCGUAAAAAUGAGGAACGAAUAUGAGAAACCUUUCAAAAAACACACUGGGCCAAAAGAUAGAAUAUUGUGGAAGAAAACAACUUAAGAAAGAAAGAGAAGAAAAAAUGGCGUAUCAGUUUGCAUAUACAGGCAGACACUAACACGGAGUAGGUUAUGAUAUAUAUAUAUAUAUCAGAUGCAUAUCAGAUGCUUAAUGGGCGUUUUGACAUAAGAAUUAUAAAUUUCUGAAAAAGUAUUUUUUUAAAAGCGAUAACGACAUUAAAAAAUUAGAGUUGUUUAUGAAUAUGAAUAUAAUUUGGAGUUGUUUUUGAAUUUUUUUGAGUGAUUUGAAGUGAAAAAUAAUAUUUUAGAAGCACAUAUGAAAGAUGUAGGUUUAGACCAGUGUGUAUAAAUUCCGUACUAUCUUAGCUUGCAAAAAUUAAACUUGCUUCGAAUCAAUAUUAAAUGGUAGAUAAAUUUAAUAUUCAAUUUAAAAUAUUUGUAAUCGAUGUAAGCCAAGAAAAACGUAGAACAAUCAAGUUCAAAUGACGCUCUAGACUGAAUUGUCCAAUUAUGUAUUAAUAACUUUGUAUUGAAAAGUCAAAAUAACGAAUACUGAUCGAACCUAUGGAAAUCAGAUUUCGAGAUCUACAAUAUUAGUGCAGAGAGUAUAAACCAAAUUGCUGAUAGAGCUUAGUAGCCCCAUCGUUGGCGCUUCAAGGCUGGGGUGGAUCUAGCGUAGCGGUGCCGAGUUCAAUUGAAUGCAUUACUUUUGAGGUGGAACAUAUAUUUAUACGUAAAAUGUAUCUAAAAUUGGAACAAAUAGUAGAUAUAAAUCUAUAACUUUAACAAUAUAAUUAGUUUAAUACUAAAAAUUCUAGAGGAUAAAACCCAUAAAGUUGAAAUUCUGAAUCCGCCGCUGUCCAGGGUACCACAUAUAUGAAGUAUAAAUCCAGCUAUUCAAAAGUAAUUGUCUCUACACCAUCCAAAUUAAACUAUCCAGGAUUGUAUCAUUUCUAGUUCUUUAAUUACGUGAUCGUACGUGCAGAACACGAAAGUCAAAGAACUAAGCGCAAUAGAAAAAAGGAAAAAAAAUACAUCAAAUAAAAUAUAUGAAGAUAGUAUAUAUUUAUACAUUAAUUGCAAUCCUGCCUGAAUAUUAUGAUAUAUUAAAUAAAUCAAAGGGACUUGAUCACUUUUCCCAAAAUACACGUAAAGCAUGAAUCCUCAUACUGGUAAGAAAAAACAGGGAGGUUUACUGUGGAGACUGAGCAAAAAUUCCACGUAAAGCAUGAAUCCUCAUACUGGUAAGAAAAAACAGAGAGGUUUACUGUGGAGACUGAGCAACCGAUAAAGCAACAGACAUAAAUUUAACGUACUCGUCAACAACUUCAUUUAGGGACAAAAUCUUUAUCCCAAAUUGUUCCAAUGCAUCAGAACAAUCCAUAUGUAAAGCACCUAAAUAUGAGAUCAUCGAUCCAGAAUCGUUUUUAUUGAGUGAUUUCAUAGCUUCUUCGAGAUCGCUUACUGCACUAUCCAUUGACUCUUUACAAGUACUCAGAAUUGAAUCUUUUGUUUGUGGUUCAACACCUGUGAUUUUUGGAAGAAAAUCGUUGGUCGCAUUUUGGAUCCUAUAUGCCAUUUCUGUACAUGCAUUUAUACUUUUGACCAUUGCUUCAUUCCAAUUUGUUGCUCCGUUUACAACCCUAUUGCACAAAUUUGGUAUGGUGCACGUCUUGCAAUAUGGGCUCAUUGGAAUUACUUGAGCCUCACUGCUCUUUAUGAGGACAUAAAACGUAGCCACGAUUAAUAAUAAACAAUAAUUCAUCUUUCUUGAAUUCAUAGUUUUCAUCUUUUAUCCCUUAUUAUAUAGGCUCAGAGAAUUGUUCUGUUUCCCUCCUUUUUUUCUCGGGGCCUAUUGGAAUUGGGAUGUAAACAGAAGAAAUAAUUUUAAUGUUUUAAAAGGGUAGGUUGUAUUUAUGAGAAAGGUUCGAAUUGUAAAUGCCACUAAAAUCUAGAGGUUCUGCGCAUUCAUAGAAAUUAUAUUUUGAUUGUGCAGUUAAUGUUUCUCUAGAAAAAAAAUUCCAUUGUGAGAAAAAUGAGGUGUGCCCUCUAUUCUUUCUUUGUUUGACGGGGCAUAUCAAUUACAUAACAUGGAUUCUGGUUGUUUUUUAAAAAAAACAUUAGACGAACCUCUUCUAUUUUCCCUUUUAAUUUCUUUUUGUUAUUUUUUUUAAAACUAGAAAGUUGUUGUUGGAUUAAAGAUUUUUUGGUUAUGUUGAUUUUCGUGUUAUUUCUUCGAAUGUUGAAUGUUAGAUAAACCCUCACAUAAUCAAUGUCAGUUGUGUAAGACACAAACUAAAUUUAAAAUUUUUCUUUUUGCCUUUUUAAUAGAAAUGGAGCAAACAUAUGCAGGCAUGAUAUAGGUUAUCUUCGAUAAAACAGAUCUCCAUAGAUUUGUGAGUUGUAUAUAUAUUGUUGAAAAUUUUAUUUUGUGUUUACACAACUGACUCUAGUUGUGUGCGAUAUCUUUUUUGUCUCAUAACUGUGCGGUCCCAGAAUUUUUUCCACCCCAAUAUGUAAGAUAUAAUUCUAUAAAUAUGUAAGAUAAAAAGAGGCAUCACACAACUAAUGUUAGUUGCGUGAGGCAAGCCAUAAAAUUACAUAAGAAGGAUUGAAUUAGAAGCACAUCGAAAAGAUGUAGGUUCAGACGGGUGUGUGAAAAUCCGUACUAUCUUAACUUGCAAAAACUGAACUUGCUUCAAAUCUAUAUUAAAUGGUAGAUAGAUUUAAUAGUCAAGUUAAAAUAUUUGUAAUUGAUGCGAGCCAAGAAAAACGUAGAACAAUCAAGUUUACAUGAUGCUCUAGACUGCAUUGUCCAAAUAUUCAUUAAUAACUUUGUGUAGAAGAGUCAAAAUAACAAAUUCUGAUUGAACAUAUAGAAAUCAGAUUUCGAGAUCUACAAUAUUGGUAUAGAGAGUAUAAAACAAAUUUCUCAUAGAGCUUAGUAGCCCUAUCAUUGAUGCUCCAGGGCUGGGGUGGAUCUAGCGUAGUGGUGCCGGGUUCAAUUGCGCAUUAUUUUCGACGUGAAACAUAAUUAUAUAUAAAAAUUAUUUAAAAUAGGAAUAAAUAGUAGAUAUAAAUACAUAACUUUAGCAAUAUAAUUAGUUUAAUACUAAGACUUUUAGAGGUUGAGCUCAUAAAGUUCAAAUUUCGUAUCCGCCGCUGCUUCAGGCUACCACAUAUAUGUGAAAUAAAUCCAACUCUUCAAAAGUAAUUGUCUCUACACCAUCCAAAUUAAACUAUCCAGGAUCGUAUCAUUUCUAGUCCUUUCAUUAUGUGUUUAGACGUGCAAAAACACGAAAUUUAAACAACUAAGCACUAUAGAAAAAGGAAAAAAAUACAUCAAAAAAAAUAUAUGAAAACAGUAUAUAUUUAUGAAUUAAUUGCAAUCCUGCCUGAAUAUCAUGAUAUAUUAAAUAAAUCAAAGGGACUUGAUCACUUUUCUUAAAAUACAUGAAUCCUCAUACUGGUAAAGAAAGAAUAGAAGAGGUUUACUAUGGGGACUGAGCAACCAAUAAAGCAACAUACAUAAAUUUAACGUAGCGGCCAACAAAUUUAUUUAGGGGAAAAAACAUGAUCCCAAAUUAUUCCAUUGCAUCAGAACAAUCCAAAUGUAAAGCACCUAAAUUUGAUAUCAUCGAUCCAAAAUCAUUUUUAUUGAGUGAUCUCAUAGCUUCUUCUGGUCGCUCGCUGCAGUAUCCAUUGACUCUUUACAAGUACUCUGAAUUGAAUCUUUUGUUUGUGGUUCAACACAUGUGAUUCUCGAAAGAAUGUCGUUGGUCACGUUUUGGAUCCUAUAUGCCAUUUCUGUACAUGCGUUUAUGCUUUUGACCGUUGCUUCAUUCCAAUUUGUUGCUCCAUUCACAAUCUUAUUGCACAAAUUUGUAUAGUGCACGUCUUGCAAUAUGGGCUCAUUGGAAUUACUUGAGCCUCAUUGCUCUUUAUGAGGAUAUAAAAUGUAGCCACGAUAAAUAAUAAACAAUAAUUCAUCUUUCUUGAAUUCAUAGUUUUCAUAUUUUAUCCCUUAUUAUAUUUGCUCGGAGAAUUGUUCUGUUUCCUUCGUUUUUUUCUUGGGGCCUAUUGGAAUUGGGAUGUAAAUAGAAGAAAUAAUUCCAAUGUAUUGAAAAGUAGUUUGUAUCUAUGAGAAAGGUUCGAAUUGUAAGUGCCACUAAAAUCUAGAGGUUCUGCGUUUUCAUAGAAAUUAUUUUUUGAUUUUGUAGUUAAUAUUUCUCUAGAAAAAAAAUUCCAUUGCGAGAAAAAGACGCCGUUUUGCUUAAACUAAUCCUAGCCAUCUAGGAUUCAAGAUCUAACGACUCAGAACCCCUACACCUCAUCUCUAUCACCUCUCACAAGACAAACUUGACCCUGCCACCCACAGCCAUGAACUGCCGGUCGAAAACUGCCUCUGCCGGCGGUGCUCAUCCAAUGACCUCCUUUUUUACACAAUAGUCUCGCCUUGAUCCCCUCAUACCCAUACCACCAUUCAUCUCCCUCAAAUAUCACCAGAAAACGUCAAAUAUCCAAAAUCCUAGUGUGCCGCCAUUGGUUCCUCCGAGCGAUGUUGCCUCCAAAUGUUGCCCUAACAACCGAUGGCAAUCAACAUGUACUGAGCUUCGUCUCAUGCAUACGAAACCUUGUGGCUCUACUUACACGAUGUUCCGUUGUUCAUUGUCAAAAUCCAUGAGCUGCCAUGAGUGGGGCCAAUCAGGACGUCACAGGACAUAGCCAUGGCACGUAUCGGGAUUUUGUAAGACAUGGAUACAGUACGUAUUAGGACGUCGGAGGACAUGUCCAUGGCACGUGUCAGGACGUUCAUUGUCAAAAGCCAUCAGCUGCAACGAGCUGUACCAGACACAACCCAUAACAACCGAUAGCAAUCGACAACCUACUGAGCUUCGCCCCAUGUGCAUGGCACCUUAGACACUACUUGCACGACGCUUUUCCAUUCCGCUGCCAAAAGCCAUCAGCCGCCGCGAGCGAUGUCGCCUCCCGAUGUUUCCCACGACAACCAAUGACAAUCUAUAUGUAUUGAGCUUCACCCCAUGCGCACGACACCUUGCGAGGCUACUUGCAUGAUGCUCUGAUGUUCACCUGCCAAGAGCGGUGCCAGACACAACCCACAACAACCAAUGGCAAUCGGCAACUUACUAAGCUUCACCCCAUGUGUAUGACACCUUGUGACGCUACUUUCACGAUGCUCCGCCAUUCUAUUGCCAAAAGCCAUCAACCGCCAUGAGCGUUGUCUCCUCACGAUAUUGCCCGCAAUAACCGAUGCACGUCUUGUCAUGUCCUGACCCAUGCCAUGACCAUGUCCUACGAUGUCCUGACACUUCCUGACCCAUGCCAUGGCUAUGUCAGUCGACGUAGUGACAUGUCCUGGCACGUGCCAUUUCCACGCCCUGCCAUGUCCUGGCGCUACUCGCACGAUGCUCUGCCGUUCGUUGUCAAAAUCCAUCAGCUUUUACGAGCGGUACUAGACAAAACCUAUUACAGCCGAUGGUAAUCGAUAACUUACUGAGCUUCGCCCCAUGCGCAUGACACCUUGCGACGCUACUUGCAUGAUGUUUUGCUAUUCCGUUGCCAAAAGCUAUCGACUUCCACGAGCGAUAUCGCCUCCCGAUGUUGCUCGCAACAAGCGAUGCACGUCCCGACACGUCCUGACCCAUGACAUGGCCGUGUCCUACGACGUCCUGACACUUCCUAACCCGUGCCAUGGCAUGUCAUGCGACGUCGUAACACGUCCUGACACGUGCCAUUGCCACGUCUUGCCAUGUCCUAGCGCUACUUGCACGAUGCUCUGCAGUUCGUUGUCAAAAGCCAUCAGCUACCACGAGCGGUACCAGACAUAACCCAUAACAACCGAUGGCAAUCAGACGCUUAAUGGGCGUUUUGACAUAAGAAUUAUAAAUUUCUGAAAAACGUGUUUUUUUUAAAAGCGAUAAUGACAUUAGAAAAGUAGAGUUGUUUAUGAACAUGGAUAUAAUUUGAAGUUGUUUUUGAAUUAUUUUGAGUGAUUUGAAGUGAAAAAUAAUACUUUAUAAUUUUUCAAAUUUCUAAUAAAUCCAAAAUUCAACUUUAAGAGAAAUUUAAAAUUUUUAUGGACAAAUAAUAAUUCAAAAAAAAAGUAAAAGAAUUUCGAAACACGGAAAAUUUUUGAAGUUAAGUUAAAAAUAAUAUUUGAAAUUAUGUUUGAACAUACAUUUCACAUGAAAAAAUAUUUUUAUUUUGUGAGUGAAAAAAAAAUCGAUUUUUUUUGGAAAAGUAGCCUAUUGAAAAACUUAUGGACUAAUAUAUUUAUGUAAAAAUUCCCGAAUAAAGGGGAAAAAGGAAAUAUGGACAAAUUGAUCCGUAAUAGCAUAAAAAUGAAGCAAAUACCAUUAUUACCAAGUUUAUUGCUCUUUGCCAAGUCCUCGCCAUGAGAUCCUGUAUGAACUUCCUUGAUUUGAUUCCAGCACGUAGUUACAUUAAAUUUUUUACUUCUCCUUUAGAUUAAGUCCCUUUUUACUCCCUCCGUAUUUGUUUGACACAUCAAAACUACUCAACGAAUCAAUUUUUACAAUAAAAUUGAACUAGAAAAUUUUAUUUUCUUAAAAUCAAAAUUGAAAUCUGAGAGUUACAUUAUUUUUCCACGUGUCAGUAAUAUGGCCAGUAUACGUAAAAAGCUAGCAAGGGUUAACUGGGCCUGUUGGAGCUCCAUUGGCUAAGUAUGAAGAGUAGUGACAAUAAUAUUUGCUGUCAACUUCUAACUGCAGCUGACUUAAGCAUAAUACAUUUUCCCACGUGUCAGUAAUAUGGCCAGUAUACGUAAAAAGCUAGCAAGGGUUAACUGGGCCUGUUGGAGCUCCAUUGGCUAAGUAUGAAGAGUAGUGACAAUAAUAUUUGCUGUCAACUUCUAACCGCAGCUGACUUAAGCAUAAUACGAUAUAAUACGAUAGUUGAGGGACAAAUUUAAAAUUUUUCUUUUUGUUUUCUAAUAGAAAUGUGCAGCUGACUUAAGCAUAAAACGAUAGUCGAGGGACAUUUAGAAUUUUUCUUUUUGCUUUUUAAUAGAAAUGAAGCAAAGAUACGUAGGCAUGAUAUAGUUUAUCUUCAAGAAAACAGUUUUUUAUAAAUUUGUGAGUUGAAAAUUUUAUUUUGUGUUCACACAAUUAAUGUUAAUUGUGUGCAAUCUCUUUUUUGUCUCAUAAUUGUAUAAGAUAUAAAUUCACAAAUAUGUAAGAUAAAAAGAGGCAUCACACAACUAAUGUUAGUUGUGUGAGGCACGCCAUAAAAUCACUUAAGGAAGGAUUGAAUUAGAAGCACAUAUGAAAGAUGUAGGUUUAGACCAGUGUGUAAAAAUUCCGUACUAUCUUAACUUGCAAAAUUAAACUUGCUUCGAAUCAAUAUUAAAUGGUAGAUAAAUUUAAUAGUCAAGUUAAAAUAUUUGUAAUCGAUGUAAGCCAAGAAAAACCUAGAACAACCAAGUUCAAAUGACGCUCUAGACUGAAUUGUCCAAAUAUGUAUUAUUAACUUUGUGUAGAAAAGUCAAAAUAACGAAUACUGAUCGAACCUAUGGAAAUCAGAUUUCGAGAUCUACAAUAUUAGUGCAGAGAGUAUAAACCAAAUUGCUGAUAGAGCUUAGUAGCCCCAUCGUUGGCGCUUCAAGGCUGGGGUGGAUCUAGCGUAGCGGUGCCGAGUUCAAUUAAAUGCAUUACUUUUGAGGUGGAACAUAUAUUUAUACGUAAAAUAUAUCUAAAAUUGGAACAAAUAGUAGAUAUAAAUCUAUAACUUUAACAAUAUAAUUAGUUUAAUACUAAAAAUUUUAGAGGUUAAAACCCAUAAAGUUGAAAUUCUGAAUCCGCCGCUGUCCAGGGUACCACAUAUAUGAAGUAUAAAUCCAGCUAUUCGAAAGUAAUUGUCUCUACACCAUCCAAAUUAAACUAUCCAGGAUCGUAUCAUUUCUAGUCCAUUCAUUACGUGAUCGUACGUGCAGAACACGAAACUCAAACAACUAAGCGCAAUAGAAAAAAGGAAAAAAAAUAUAUCAAACAAAAUAUAUGAAGAUAGUAUAUAUUUAUACAUUAAUUGCAAUCCUGCCUGAAUAUUAUGAUAUAUUAAAUAAAUCAAAGGGACUUGAUCACUUUUCCCAAAAUACACGUAAAGCAUGAAUCCUCAUACUGGUAAGAAAAAACAGGGAGGUUUACUGUGGAGACUGAGCAACCGAUAAAGCAACAGACAUAAAUUUAACGUACUCGUCAACAACUUCAUUUAGGGAUAAAAACUUUAUCCCAAAUUGUUCUAAUGCAUCAGAACAAUCCAUAUGUAAAGCACCUAAAUAUGAGAUCAUCGAUCCCGAAUUGUUUUUAAUGAGUGAUUUCAUAGCUUCUUCGAGAUCGCUUACUGCACUAUCCAUUGACUCUUUACAAGUACUCAGAAUUGAAUCUUUUGUUUGUGGUUCAACACCUGUGAUUUUUGGAAGAAAAUCGUUGGUCGCAUUUUGGAUCCUAUAUGCCAUUUCUGUACAUGCAUUUAUACUUUUGACCAUUGCUUCAUUCCAAUUUGUUGCUCCGUUUACAACCCUAUUGCACAAAUUUGGUAUAGUGCACGUCUUGCAAUAUGGGCUCAUUGGAAUUACUUGAGCCUCACUGCUCUUUAUGAGGACAUAAAACGUAGCCACGAUUAAUAAUAAACAAUAAUUCAUCUUUCUUGAAUUCAUAGUUUUCAUCUUUUAUCCCUAAUUAUAUAGGCUCAGAGAAUUGUUCUGUUCCCCUCCUUUUUUUCUCGGGGCCUAUUGGAAUUGGGAUGUAAACAGAAGAAAUAAUUUUAAGG
rnacentral:lncRNA from 1 species